rnacentral:rRNA from 1 species
CACUAUCGUUAACUGAAUACAUAGGUUAACGAGGCGAACCGGGGGAACUGAAACAUCUAAGUACCCCGAGGAAAAGAAAUCAACCGAGAUUCCCCCAGUAGCGGCGAGCGAACGGGGAGCAGCCCAGAGUCUGAAUCAGCUUGUGUGUUAGUGGAACGGUCUGGAAAGUCCGACGGUACAGGGUGAUAGUCCCGUACACCAAAAUGCACAGGUUGUGAACUCGAAGAGUAGGGCGGGACACGUGGUAUCCUGUCUGAAUAUGGGGGGACCAUCCUCCAAGGCUAAAUACUCCUGACUGACCGAUAGUGAACCAGUACCGUGAGGGAAAGGCGAAAAGAACCCCGGCGAGGGGAGUGAAAAAGAACCUGAAACCGUGUACGUACAAGCAGUGGGAGCACCUUCGGGUGUGACUGCGUACCUUUUGUAUAAUGGGUCAGCGACUUAUAUUCUGUAGCAAGGUUAACCGUAUAGGGGAGCCGCAGGGAAACCGAGUCUUAACUGGGCGUUAAGUUGCAGGGUAUAGACCCGAAACCCGGUGAUCUAGCCAUGGGCAGGUUGAAGGUUGGGUAACACUAACUGGAGGACCGAACCGACUAAUGUUGAAAAAUUAGCGGAUGACUUGUGGCUGGGGGUGAAAGGCCAAUCAAACCGGGAGAUAGCUGGUUCUCCCCGAAAGCUAUUUAGGUAGCGCCUCGUGAACUCAUCUUCGGGGGUAGAGCACUGUUUCGGCUAGGGGGUCAUCCCGACUUACCAACCCGAUGCAAACUACGAAUACCGAAGAAUGUUAUCACGGGAGACACACGGCGGGUGCUAACGUCCGUCGUGAAGAGGGAAACAACCCAGACCGCCAGCUAAGGUCCCAAAGUCAUGGUUAAGUGGGAAACGAUGUGGGAAGGCACAGACAGCCAGGAUGUUGGCUUAGAAGCAGCCAUCAUUUAAAGAAAGCGUAAUAGCUCACUGGUCGAGUCGGCCUGCGCGGAAGAUGUAACGGGGCUAAACCAUGCACCGAAGCUGCGGCAGCGACACUAUGUGUUGUUGGGUAGGGGAGCGUUCUGUAAGCCUGCGAAGGUGACCUGUGAGGGUUGCUGGAGGUAUCAGAAGUGCGAAUGCUGACAUAAGUAACGAUAAAGCGGGUGAAAAGCCCGCUCGCCGGAAGACCAAGGGUUCCUGUCCAACGUUAAUCGGGGCAGGGUGAGUCGACCCCUAAGGCGAGGCCGAAAGGCGUAGUCGAUGGGAAACAGGUUAAUAUUCCUGUACUUGGUGUUACUGCGAAGGGGGGACGGAGAAGGCUAUGUUAGCCGGGCGACGGUUGUCCCGGUUUAAGCAUGUAGGCUGGUUGUCCAGGCAAAUCCGGAUAAUCAAGGCUGAGGUGUGAUGACGAGGCACUACGGUGCUGAAGUAACAAAUGCCCUGCUUCCAGGAAAAGCCUCUAAGCAUCAGGUAACAUUAAAUCGUACCCCAAACCGACACAGGUGGUCAGGUAGAGAAUACCAAGGCGCUUGAGAGAACUCGGGUGAAGGAACUAGGCAAAAUGGUGCCGUAACUUCGGGAGAAGGCACGCUGGUGUGUAGGUGAAGCCCCUGCGGGUGGAGCUGAGACCAGUCGAAGAUACCAGCUGGCUGCAACUGUUUAUUAAAAACACAGCACUGUGCAAACACGAAAGUGGACGUAUACGGUGUGACGCCUGCCCGGUGCCGGAAGGUUAAUUGAUGGGGUUAUCCGUAAGGAGAAGCUCUUGAUCGAAGCCCCGGUAAACGGCGGCCGUAACUAUAACGGUCCUAAGGUAGCGAAAUUCCUUGUCGGGUAAGUUCCGACCUGCACGAAUGGCGUAAUGAUGGCCAGGCUGUCUCCACCCGAGACUCAGUGAAAUUGAACUCGCUGUGAAGAUGCAGUGUACCCGCGGCAAGACGGAAAGACCCCGUGAACCUUUACUAUAGCUUGACACUGAACAUUGAGCCUUGAUGUGUAGGAUAGGUGGGAGGCUUUGAAGCGUGGACGCCAGUCUGCGUGGAGCCAACCUUGAAAUACCACCCUUUAAUGUUUGAUGUUCUAACGUUGGCCCCUUACCGGGGUUGCGGACAGUGUCUGGUGGGUAGUUUGACUGGGGCGGUCUCCUCCCAAAGCGUAACGGAGGAGCACGAAGGUUAGCUAAUCCUGGUCGGACAUCAGGAGGUUAGUGCAAUGGCAUAAGCUAGCUUGACUGCGAGCGUGACGGCGCGAGCAGGUGCGAAAGCAGGUCAUAGUGAUCCGGUGGUUCUGAAUGGAAGGGCCAUCGCUCAACGGAUAAAAGGUACUCCGGGGAUAACAGGCUGAUACCGCCCAAGAGUUCAUAUCGACGGCGGUGUUUGGCACCUCGAUGUCGGCUCAUCACAUCCUGGGGCUGAAGUAGGUCCCAAGGGUAUGGCUGUUCGCCAUUUAAAGUGGUACGCGAGCUGGGUUUAGAACGUCGUGAGACAGUUCGGUCCCUAUCUGCCGUGGGCGCUGGAGAAUUGAGGGGGGCUGCUCCUAGUACGAGAGGACCGGAGUGGACGCAUCACUGGUGUUCGGGUUGUCAUGCCAAUGGCACUGCCCGGUAGCUAAAUGCGGAAGAGAUAAGUGCUGAAAGCAUCUAAGCACGAAACUUGCCCCGAGAUGAGUUCUCCCUGAGACUUUAAGUCUCCUGAAGGAACGUUGAAGACGACGACGUUGAUAGGCCGGGUGUGUAAGCGCAGCGAUGCGUUGAGCUAACCGGUACUAAUGAACCGUGAGGCUUAACCUU